AGGGAUUGCCUCAGUAACGGCGAGUGAAGCGGCAACAGCUCAAAUUUGAAAUCUGGCUCUUUCAGGGUCCGAGUUGUAAUUUGUAGAGGAUGCUUCGGGUGUGGCUCCGGUCUAAGUUCCUUGGAACAGGACGUCAUAGAGGGUGAGAAUCCCGUAUGUGACUGGUUGCCUAUGCUCAUGUGAAGCUCCUUCGACGAGUCGAGUUGUUUGGGAAUGCAGCUCAAAAUGGGUGGUAAAUUUCAUCUAAAGCUAAAUAUUGGCCAGAGACCGAUAGCGCACAAGUAGAGUGAUCGAAAGAUGAAAAGCACUUUGGAAAGAGAGUUAAACAGUACGUGAAAUUGUUGAAAGGGAAGCGCUUGCAACCAGACUUGCACGUAGUUAAUCAACCGGUGUUCUCACUGGUGCACUUGAUUACGUUCAGGCCAGCAUCGGUUUCGGUGGUUGGAUAAAGGCCGGGGGAAUGUGGCUUCUUUCGGGGAGUGUUAUAGCCCUCGGUGCAAUGCAGCCUACCGGGACCGAGGACCGCGCUUCGGCUAGGAUGCUGGCGUAAUGGUUGUAAGCGACCCGUCUUGAAACACGGACCAAGGAGUCUAACAUCUAUGCGAGUGUUUGGGUGUUAAACCCAUACGCGUAAUGAAAGUGAACGGAGGUGAGAACCCUUAAGGGUGCAUCAUCGACCGAUCCUGAUGUCUUCGGAUGGAUUUGAGUAAGAGCAUAGCUGUUGGGACCCGAAAGAUGGUGAACUAUGCCUGAAUAGGGUGAAGCCAGAGGAAACUCUGGUGGAGGCUCGCAGCGGUUCUGACGUGCAAAUCGAUCGUCAAAUUUGGGUAUAGGGGCGAAAGACUAAUC
rnacentral:rRNA from 1 species